CUCCCACGCCGGCCACCGUCCCUCGAACUAUCAGCACCGCCCCUCACCACUCCCCUGUGAUCCUCCACCCCGGCAUGCCGCCCCUCACCAAUCCCCUGCGACCUUCCAUCUCGGUGUGCCGUCCCUCGUCAACACUCCCCUGCGACCCGGCUUCCCAGUGCGCUGCCCCUCGUCAGCGCGCCCCUACGAAUCAACUGCGUCUAUUAUUCCUCCGCACGGGGGCCGGCGGCUGUGGGGAGAGUUGCCGCUACAACCACCCUCGCGAUCAAGCUAUCGUGGUUAAAUUAUAGCUGGUUGGUGCGGAGAGGACACUCCAGCUGAAGCCUCUUGUUGUGAUUGAAUUGAUUCUAGUUAUAGCUUAGGAGCCUAUCACCAGCCCAUGGAAGUGAAACUUGAUUGUGCAGUCCUUGGUUAAUGUCGUGGAUUAUGUGGUUGACUGAUUUCUGCUUACAUCCCAAUUUGCCGGCCUAAUCAGUCAUAUGGUCAUACUUCUAUGGGGAAAAUCUUUUUUUUACCUUAUUAUUACAGCUCAAGUAGGUGCGAUACUCACUUGUGCCAGUACUUUGUUGUAGUAGUGAGGAUUUCUGUAGAAGUGAGAACAUCGACGAGUGCCUUAUCACCUAACACGGCCAUCUACUCAGUGCAGGUAUGUGGCAUGCAAGGAGAGGAGAUGAUGGACAUAACAAUUACAAAAUCUACCUCAUAUUUGAUCUGAUAAGCACCUCUUUUGUCCAACGUCAUCAGUUGGGGAGGAAUCUCGUCUCCAAUCAUACAUAAUUUCACUCUAAUUUCUUCUUUUUCUUAAAGAUAAAUAGCAUAAGGAGAAACCAUUCUGAUGUCACAUCUGACCUAACAAUUUCAGAUCAUGAUAGUAGUUAUUUCUAGCUAACAAUUGGUGGAAACACAAAAAUGUUAGCCCAUUAUUGGCUUGAUGACUAGUGUGCAUUGUAGAAUAACCUUACUAGCCUUUUUUACAAUGUUUGAAGAAAAUUCUGCCUAUUAUGUUGCGAAGGCUUGGAGGAGGAUUCUUGCAUUGUUGAAAAACAAUAUAAUUGUUAAUUUCUGUUGUACGACGACAGGAACUUAAAUCACAAAUCAGAUAUUUACAAGCUAAGCUUUAGGAGUUUAUUCAUGGUGAUGAUGAUGAUGAUGAUGAUGAUGGUGAUGAUGAUGAUGAUGAUGAUGAUGGAGGCCUUCCAUUUUAAUAAAGUUGUAGGGGAUGUUCUUGUUGGAUGAUGUUCCUCGGUUAAGUUUUUGAUAAGUUGUACGCAUGUUGAUGGAUGCCUUCAGUUUGAGAUUCGUUGUCAAGAAAAUAUUUAGAUUACGUAUCACAUU